GCCUCUUCAUCUCCGGCCCUGUAACUGCCCCAUCAAUAUUCAUCAAUUCCAAAUUACACACUCUUAUCGUCACCGAAAAGAUUACACGCACUCCUAUUGACCUGUGUGCUUCCCACUCUCACGCUGCACCGUCCUAUUUUUUCCUUCUCCAAUCUGCAAAUUCUCUCUCUUCGCUUUCUUCACUCCAUGACUCUGCGGCAAGAACGAACUUCCAGGCUUGCUUGAUCGCUCCCAAUCAAUGCUGCAAGCUUUCAAGCAAAAGAGCAUGGGAUAGUGUUGAAACUGAUAAUCGCAAGGGAUAAUGAAAAUGCAGUGCGAAACUCUUCUCAUCAACAAGUGUGUGUCCUUUUGAAGGUCUGUUGCUUUGAAACGCAAUAAAACAUAAUAUUCUUCUUUUCUGUUGUCUCAUACAUUCCAUGCACAUAUCGUACAAUAUAUGAAAAUAUUAGAAAUACGAAUUUUGUUUACUGUGGCAUCAAUGGGUUCCUUUGUUAUUUUUGCACAAUGAGUUUACUUUUAACAUGCUAAUAUUUAGUUCAUUUGUGAAAAACUCAUGUCGGUGGACACAAAACAAAAAUUGAUUUUCUAGAACCCCUUUGCUUUCAGCUAGAACACAAAUAAUACCAUUAAUAACAGUCGUAUUAUCAGUUAUAUGGCAUAUGCAGUAGAUGAUGAGUAAGCAUGGUGCUCUAGCAUAGCAUCAUAACUAAUGCGAGUUUGAGCCUUUACCUUUAUACUACCAGAAUAUUUCGGUGUUUGUCUCUGCACCUGAACUUGGCCUAUUUAUUGCUUCCAAAGAAAAAGGGAAAAAAGACACUGUCCUCUCUCUAUAUGAAGACUUUUAAUAGAAUAGUUUGGGUAUUCUCUAAUAAAUGUGGCACUUUUUGAGUUCCUAUUCAUGAACAUUCUUUUUUAUUUUUUAUUUCUUUUACGUGCUAUUUGAUUCCAGUCGUGAAAGAUAUACACAAAUAUAUCCUACUACUAUAUAUGGUCAAGGCCAACCAGCUUGAUUUUCGAAUAUCAUUUCUUUUUUCAAACAACGAGACAUGUUUCUUGUGAUUUUUACUCAUCAGCUGGUUUAAGGACAAUUACUGUAUCAUGGUGUAUUCAGCUUUCAUAAUGUUGAGGCCAUGCAAAACCAUGAUCUCAUCCCUCAUGCCCUUAAUUGGUCUGCAUGGAAAUGGCACAAUUUCUUACCUGCAGAGUCGGAGAGCUGAACCUUGUUCUGUAGAGAAGAAGUAAAGAUCAUCUAAUCAAGCAUAAGUGGUUCAUGAUAGAUUUAAUAAAAUUUUCUCUACCAUUGCUCAACUCAAUGAACCAUGUUUUGCAGAGAAGAUAAAAAGGAUCGUCUGAUCGGGCUUUAAGAAUUCCUGAUAGGUCUAUUGAAUUUACUCUACUCUUGCUCUCCUCAAUUUUAGUAUUGAGGUUAGUUUUUAAUUUUAUGUACUCUUAAGUUGAUGCGUUGGCUAAAUCCACCCAAUGAAAUAGAGUGAGUUUCCAAAAGGACCAUAUAUAUUAUUUUUGCCAUGAUCAUAGCGAUGAAGGUUCUACCGGAACAUUUACUUAUUGUAGGUAGGAGGACUGUGCUGGGAUGAAGAAUCCUUCAGUCCAUGGGAGGGAUUUAUGAUAAUCAUUUUAUGGAGCUUUACUGGAGCUUCCGUGGUGGGCCAUUCACAGCCUUUAACGACACAAAAAGAAGUUGCUCUCCACAUGUACAUAGAGAAGAAAGGUUGAAGCAAUCUUGCUCUUAUAACAACAAUACGUGGGUUUUCCCUGGCCUAAGCUUUGUCUAUUAUAUAUUAGGGAUAUAGGUACUAAAAUGGGCCAUAACGUUUUUCUUAUAAAUAUUUUGGUCAUUUAAUUUAAGAAAUUAAAAGAGUUUUAGGAAAAGAAAAAAAGAAGGAAACAAGCUAGCACUGUUCAGCCUGAUAGGGAAAAGAGGGAGAGAAGGGCCGGUGGUGGCUGCCCUAGCAGAGGUUGGCAGAGACGGACCUCAACCAGGUUGGCCUAACUUGUGAUCUUCGCAUGAUAACUAAGACUUUUUCUUUUUUUCUUUUUUUCACAAGUUGUGUCGGAGAGCACUUAUUGAGUCCAAACAUUUCGUAGAAACACAUAUCUAACUUGUUUUAACUCAAAAUUAUGUUGGACAUAUUAUUCCACAUGCAUAAUAUCUCAUGCUAAAUGAAGUUUUGCACGUGCAACGCAUGUGAUUUCAUGCUAGUUAUUAGAAAUGAGAAAAAAAGUAGAUUCAUUAGGGAUUGUUUUGGCAAGUAAAUUUGUUAGAGAUUAAGUUAGGCCAAUUCAUGUUAAGGGGCCUUAAUCUAUCACGAAGCAAGUAACUUUAUUAGAAAUUAAUAUUAGUGGAGCUAUAUAUAUAUAUAUAUAUAUAUAGCCUAAAAAUGGGGGCCUAAAUCAAUUUGUUUUUUUGUUUUUUACAGAAGAGUCCAUCGCUAAUUUGUCAUAAAGUGGUUUUAUCUUCUGGUUUUGUGUCACUGAUCAGAUACAAUUUUGGUCAUGAUUUGUGACGAAAAAUCGUUCGAUCAUAGAUAGGUGACAAAAGUUUUGACAAAAACGUUUCUGUCACAAAUUUUUGUGACAAAUGCGUCAUUUAUAUAGAAGAGGGAACGAGGAUCAGGAAUGUGAUUUCCAGCGUCGGAUUUUGUGACUAAAAUUUCUAUUAGUGGAUUCCUUUAGUGACGGAUUAUCAGGAAUCCGUCACAGAUUUUUCCGUCACUAAUGCCUAUUUCUCUUGUGGUGUUUUGCCUUCAUAAUUUUCUUAUGAGUCCUAGAAAAGUCUACAACUUACACAUUCUUAGUUGAAAAACGAAAUCACCCAUAUCGAGUUUAAAAAUUUAAUGGACUAGUGAAAACUUUCUUUUUGUAUAAUAUAGCUCUUAUCAAAUUC